rnacentral:tRNA from 1 species
GGGAAUGUGGCUUAGUGGUAGAGUGCUUGUCUAAUAGGCAUGAAGUCCUAGGUUCAAUUCCUCAGUACCA